rnacentral:rRNA from 1 species
AAAGAGUGCGUAAUAGCUCACUGGUCGAGUGAUCCUGCGCCGAAGAUGUCCGGGGCUAAAACUUACCACCGAAGCUAAGGCUUGCCAAGAAAUUGGCAGGGGUAGGGGAGCAUUCCAUAAAGAUAGAAGCCAUAGUCGUAAGACAUGGUGGACAUUAUGGAAGAGAGAAUGCUGGUAUGAGUAGCGCAAGUUAGGUGAGAAACCUAACCAUCGAAAGCCCAAGGAUUCCUGAGGAAGGUUUGUCCGCUCAGGGUAAGUCGGGACCUAAGCCCAGGCCGUAAGGCGUAGGCGAUGGACAAUCUGUAAAAAAUCAGAUACCACCUUGAAACGCUAAAGAGAAGGAGUGACACAGGAGGAUAGGUUAACCAGAGUGUUGGUAAUCUCUGGCUAAGCAGUAAGAAAGAGAUGAUAGGCAAAUCCGUCAUCUUGCUAAUUUCAAGCUGUUAUGGGGAGCGAAACUAAAAGUAGCGAAGUAACCAAGUUCACACUGUCGAGAAAAGCUUCUAUCAAGUAACAAGGUGCCCGUACCGUAAACCGACACAGGUAGGCGAGGAGAGAAUCCUAAGAUGAACGGGAGAAGUGUUGUUAAGGAACUGGGCAAAAUGACCCCGUAACUUCGGGAGAAGGGGUGCCGGGUACACAAGAUGUACCUGGCCGCAGAGAAAUGGCCCAAGCGACUGUUUAGCAAAAACACAGGUCUCUGCUAAAUCGAAAGAUGAAGUAUAGGGGCUGACGCCUGCCCGGUGCUGGAAGGUUACGGGGAUCUGUUAGCGCAAGCGAAGCAGUGAACUUAAGCCCCAGUAAACGGCGGCCGUAACUAUAACGGUCCUAAGGUAGCGAAAUUCCUUGUCAGGUAAGUUCUGACCCGCACGAAAGGCGUAACGAUUUGGGCACUGUCUCAACAACACCCCCGGUGAAAUUGUAGUACUCGUGAAGAUGCGAGUUACCCGCGACAGGACGGAAAGACCCCGUAGAGCUUUACUGUAGCCUGACAUUGGAUUUUGGUAUUACAUGUACAGGAUAGGUGGGAGACAAAGAUACUAGGACGCCAGUCUUGGAGGAGUCACCCUUGGGAUACCACUCUUGUAAUACUGAAGUUCUAACCAGUGGCCAUAAACUGGUCAUGGGACAUUGUCAGGUGGGCAGUUUGACUGGGGCGGUCGCCUCCGAAAGAGUAACGGAGGCGCUCAAAGGUUACCUCAGAAUGGUUGGAAAUCAUUUUUAGAGUGCAAAGGCAAAAGGUAGCCUAACUGCGAGAGAGACAUCUCGAGCAGAGACGAAAGUCGGACUUAGUGAUCCGGUGGUACCGAGUGGAAGGGCCAUCGCUCAACGGAUAAAA